CUGAUUUCAUUCCUGGUGUUG
rnacentral:piRNA from 1 species